GAUGAACGCUAGCGGCAGGCUUAAUACAUGCAAGUCGAGGGGCAGCACUGGUAGCAAUACCUGGUGGCGACCGGCAAACGGGUGCGGAACACGUACGCAACCUUCCCAGAACAGGUGAAUAGCCCUCCGAAAGGAGGAUUAAUACACCGUAAUAUAUAGAUGUGGCAUCACAUUUAUCUUAAAGUAGCAAUAUCGGUUUUGGAUGGGCGUGCGCCUGAUUAGGAGUUGGUGCGGGUAACGGCCCACCAAGCCUCCGAUCAGUAACUGGUGUGAGAGCACGACCAGUCACACGGGCACUGAGACACGGGCCCGACUCCUACGGAGGCAGCAGUAAGGAAUAUUGGUCAAUGGACGCAAGUCUGAACCAGCCAUGCCGCGUGAAGGAUGAAAGGGCCCUCUGGGUUGUAAACUUCUUUUAUCUGGGACGAAAAAGGGAAUUCUUUCUCACUUG
rnacentral:rRNA from 1 species